CAAAAAGUAGUUUAAAUUAAAAUUCUAGUUUUGGGAAUUAGAGAUAAUACUAAGGUCUUCUUUUUGA
rnacentral:tRNA from 1 species